UACGGGGGGGGCAAGCGUUGUUCGGAAUUACUGGGCGUAAAGGGCUCGUAGGUGGCCAACUAAGUCAGACGUGAAAUCCCUCAGCUUAACUGGGGAACUGCGUCUGAUACUGGAUGGCUUGAGUUUGGGAGAGGGUAGUGGAAUUCCCGGUGUAGUGGUGAAAUGCGUAGAGAUGUGGAGGAACACCGAUGGCGAAGGCAGCCCCCUGGGCUGAGAUUGACGCUCAGGCACGAAAGCGUGGGGAGCAAACAGG
rnacentral:rRNA from 1 species